rnacentral:lncRNA from 1 species
AGCCAAAUAAAAAUUACAAGUUACAAGUUCCCCACAAGUGCGGAGAUGUCCGUAAAAGCCGGGGGGCCAUGGACGAAAUUAAAGCACCUUGGAAUGGUCAUUUUCAAUCGCAAAGGAAGCCGCACCAUGCAACCCGAAAUGAUUACCGUCGCCCACACACCGCACCGACUGGCAUCCCUUUUUCUGCUCGUGUACGACUCGGUUAUAUCCCGUACAUCAGCUCACCCAUGCGCCCAAUAUGUGCAUGUGCAUGUGCGUGUUGGAGCUUUUGCGUUGCGUACAUGUACCCCGCCGCCCCCUUGCCGCCUGCACAACCCCGGAACGUAUGUGUGCUCUGUCGUGGCGUCAGGUCCAAGCUGACCACCAUCAUGGUGGCCGGAUUGUUGCCGGCGCUGGGAGCCGGCUUCCUUAUCUCCUUCAUCCGCCUGCGAUUCAGCGUCAAGCACGCGAUUCGGUCGUUCUGGUAAGGAUGGACACCCCGGAGAAGGCAAUGAAGCAAAGGGGGGCCCGGGGGGGAAGGCGCAGGGCACGUAGCUGCAAUAUCAUCGAGCCGUCAGCGCAUGUUGCCUAUGCCUCUCGCGCCCGCCCCUGCCCUUAGUAUUCUUCAACUGCGACAUCACCAGAGGGUAUUGGAAGAAAUUGACGUCUAUACAGUGCAUGCGUGUGCAUGGCAUGCAUUCCAGAGGCAUGGAGCAUCGCACGCCUGCUACUUCUAGCGCUUCUGGCACAUUGGACGUGCGUCGCGUUGGUGCCGGAAAAGAUCUGCCACGUGCGGAGUUUCGUCAGUGCAUCGUUUUACAGCUGCUUGGCCUGUGCAGCUCCCAUCGCGCCGCGUUACUGCGCCGCUCUGCCGCUGCUGCUGCCGCUGCUGCUGCUGCUGCUGCUGCUGCUGCCAUAACUUCUCCGGGGUGUACCCCCUGCACGCGUUUACCCCUCCCCACCCCCCCCCGCACAGUCACAUCGACCCGAACAAGUCCCGUCUGAAGGACAUCUACCGCUUCACGGACGCCAGGGAGGUGGAGAUUGUGUCGCGCGUGUGUCGCAAGUGGACAGAGGACGACGUGCUGGAUUCGGAUGCGGUGAAGCUGUCGGAGACCAUCAUCAAGGUGCGUGGUGUGGAUCGCCACCUACUACUACCUACUCGCCUGUCGAGGAAUUGAAAUGACGCGUCUUUCCUGCACCGGGCUGCGAAGCAUUAAGCGUUACGCCCUAUUUGAAAAUCAUUGCUGAAUCUUUGGGGGCGGCUCUUUAGUAUGAUCAUGUUAGCUUGCUAGGGGCGUGUAUAUGCAUCCCUGUCAAUCCUUACGAGUACGCUUUGAGCACACAUG